UAUUAACAUGCGAUCCAAAGCUCAGAGAUCAGCGUUAAAUGGUUGGGAUUGUUGGAAAUGUGAAAAAUAUUACAAGAGUCUAUCUUUGUCUAAAACAGAGUUACAGAAG